rnacentral:lncRNA from 1 species
GUUUUGAUGUUAUUUAUAUUGUGAUAUAUUCAGGAAAAGAAUAAGUUGCCAAAGGACCAACAACACAGGGAUAUGCUAUCAUCAUCGGGAAUUCUCAAUAAUCGGAACGCAAUAAUUGAUUCGUAAGUUUGGACGUCAGUAGCAAGUGCGGAUAAAGAAUGUAUAUCGCUAUUAUUCAUCUAUCCUAAGGGACGGUUGCCUGAAAUGUCAGGCGUUCUCCCCGUGUUCAAGCGGGGAGAACGCCUGACAUUUCAGGCUAAAGGGACGGGCCAUUACAAAAGUGAAGGGAGGGGUGGGGAAAAAUCCAUACAAGCAAAAACGUUCUGUAAAAAAUCCAAACAGCCAGAAGGCGGCAGAAAAAAAUAUUACUACACUACAAAAACAUCGUCACCAAGUGCAUGAACCAUAAAAAUCCAUGCAUGGCAGAAACAUCUCCCCCUCCGUUUUCUCUUUUCUAAUGGACCGUCCUAAAAGGCUGUUUCGUACACAACUGUAUUGUACAGAAACGUAGCGUAUUUCCUAAGCACUAGGGUAAAAUAAUGACUUCAGCACAAACGAAAAUGCUACGGUACGGUACGUUACGAUUGAAGUGGAAAAUGGUCUAAAUCCUGGUUUCCAUUUUGUUGCGCCUGUCGCGAACAAAUAUAAAAGCUGAGACACACCGGACGCGAUUCGACAACGCGGCGCGGUUUUUUAGUAUUUGAAAGUUAAUAAAACAGCCAAUGAAAGGAAAUUUUAAAAGAUAUGUAGACCAAAUAACUCAAAAUGUUGUAGCGUUUCUAAAUAUUUUAAAAAGUUAAACCAGGAUCAAAGUUAUCGGUCAGAGAAAAUCGAAAAAUCGCGCCGCGUUGUUGAAUCGCGUCCAGUGUGUAUCGGCCUUAAAGGUUCGGUCACACGAGGCGACAAGUUGCAGGGACUUGACGCGGGGAUUAAAGUUCACCGUGUGACAUAUGUAGAAAACUUGUCGCGGGAACUGACUUUUGUCCCCGCGACAUGUCGCAUGAAAUCAAAUUGAUUUUAUCGGACUUGUCGCGGGUACAGAAUCAGUCCCCGCGACUAGUUGUCGCCUGGAAAUGUUGCUCCAUGUGACCUUUCUCAGGCGAUAAGUCCUCGCGACCAGUCCUUGGGACUUGCCGCCUCGUGUGACCGAACCUUGAGGUAAAUGCCAUGCAUCUAUCUUGUGUUUUGUAUGCUUGAUGUCUGAGAUAUAUAAAUUUUUACAUUGUGUUAAAGGGAUAUGGCAAUAAAAAUUAACUUUGUCUUAUUUGAAAGAACUUUUAAAGUUACAUAAGGUACGGAAAAGUUGUAAAGGGUCUUCAGGCUUGGUUUUCGAAAUAUUUUGACCAAAAACAGUCUGCAGUUCGCCAUCUUGGUAUUAUAAUUGACCUGAUUAACUGAGUUUUUGAUGACGUCGCGAGCAGGGUAAACUUGUUAAAACUUCUUCAUGUGGGACUAAAUUUCUUCGAAGAGUUUCUUCAAAUGUUGCGAGUUAAUUGAGUACUAAAAAGACUUCGGAAAAUCGAGUUUCAUAUUGAUAAUGACAUGUGGUUUGCAAGAUAAAAAUUUCGCUUUUUUACCCUACUUGUGACGUAUGCAUAUCGAAUGCACAUCCAAGAUGGCGGAAUGGACGCUGCUUCUGAUCGAAAUAAGUCGAUUUAUUUCGAAAACCAUGCAAGAUACGGAAUAAUUGUAAAGGAAGUUUAUAUAUCAUUUUAAAUGUUCUUUCAAAUUAAAGAAAACUUAAUUUAUAUUGCCAUAUUCCUUUAAGGUACAAUGGAUUAAAACUUAUUCAUUACUUUGUUUCGUGCACUCAUAUAGAACAUAUUUAAAUUAUUUCAAUUUAUAUGUAAUUCGAUGUUAUGUGGACAAUAUAUGAGAUUGAACAUUGUCAAUCUUUCUAUGUUUUCCACAAGAGGCUUUGGAAAAUUAUAUGUUUAGAACAAAGUCUCGUUUGCGUAGGG